GGCGAACGCUGGCGGCGUGCCUAAUACAUGCAAGUUGAGCGAUGAAGAUUGGUGCUUGCACCAAUUUGAAGAGCAGCGAACGGGUGAGUAACGCGUGGGGAAUCUGCCUUUGAGCGGGGGACAACAUUUGGAAACGAAUGCUAAUACCGCAUAACAACUUUAAACAUAAGUUUUAAGUUUGAAAGAUGCAAUUGCAUCACUCAAAGAUGAUCCCGCGUUGUAUUAGCUAGUUGGUGAGGUAAAGGCUCACCAAGGCGAUGAUACAUAGCCGACCUGAGAGGGUGAUCGGCCACAUUGGGACUGAGACACGGCCCAAACUCCUACGGGAGGCAGCAGUAGGGAAUCUUCGGCAAUGGACGAAAGUCUGACCGAGCAACGCCGCGGGAGUGAAGAAGGUUUUCGGAUCGUAAAACUCUGUUGGUAGAGAAGAACGUUGGUGAGAGUGGAAAGCUCAUCAAGUGACGGUAACUACACAGAAAGGGACGGCUAACUACGUG
rnacentral:rRNA from 1 species